AUUGAACGCUGGCGGCAUGCCUAACACAUGCAAGUCGAACGGUAACACCACAAGGGUGGUUGUCGAGUGGUGGAGGGGGGAGGAAUAGUUCGGAAUGUGUCUAGUACUUGUGGAUCACUGCUCGAAACAGUAGCUAAUACCGCAUGAGAUCUAAUGAUGAAAGCCGGGGACCUCCGGGGCUUGCGCCACUAUAGCGGCUGAUGUCAGAUUAGGUCGUUGUUGGGUUAAAAGGUUACCAAGUCGACGCUCUGUAGCUGGUCUGAGAAGACGACCAGCCACACUGGAACUGAGACACGGCCCAGACUCCUACGGGAGGCAGCAGUGGGGAAUUUUGGACAAUGGGCGCAAGCCUGAUCCAGCAAUGCCGCGUGCAGGAUGAAGGCCUUCGGGUUGUAAACUGCUUUUGUUCGGAAAGAAAAGCCGUGUACUAAUACGGGAAGGUCAUGACGGUACCGAAAGAAUAAGCACCGGCUAACUACGUG
rnacentral:rRNA from 1 species